AUUGAACGCUAGCGGGAUGCCUUACACAUGCAAGUCGAACGGAGUGGGGAACGGGUGAGUAAUGUAUCGGUACGUGCCCAGUAGCGGGGGAUGAGUACGCCAAAGCGUAGCUAAUACCGCAUACUAUUGGCUUGGCCGAUAGCGGGUUAGUUGGUGGGUGGGGUAAUGGCUCACCAAGGCGACGACCCGUAGCUGGUUUGAGAGGACGACUAGCCACACUGGAACUGAGACACGGCCCAGACUCCUACGGGAGGCAGCAGUGGGGAAUAUUGGACAAGGGGGGAAACCCUGAUGCAGCCAUCCCGCGUGUGCGAUGAAGGCCUUCGGGUUGUAAAGCACUUUUGGCAGGAAGGCGGUACCUGCAGAAGAAGCACCGGCUAACUACGUGCCAGCAGCCGCGGUAAUUC
rnacentral:rRNA from 1 species